UACGUAUGGGGCAAGCGUUAUCCGGAUUUACUGGGUGUAAAGGGGGCGCAGACGGCGAUGCAAGCCAGGAGUGAAAGCCCGGGGCCCAACCCCGGGACUGCUCUUGGAACUGCGUGGCUGGAGUGCAGGAGGGGCAGGCGGAAUUCCUGGUGUAGCGGUGAAAUGCGUAGAUAUUAGGAGGAACACCAGUGGCGAAGGCGGUCUGCUGGACAGCAACUGACGCUGAGGCGCGAAAGCGUGGGGAGCAAACAGG
rnacentral:rRNA from 1 species